rnacentral:rRNA from 1 species
UACGUAGGGUGCAAGCGUUAAUCGGAAUUACUGGGCGUAAAGCGUGCGCAGGCGGUUUUGGAAGUCUGUCGUGAAAGCCCCGGGCUUAACCUGGGAAUGGCAUUUGGGACUGCAAGGCUGGAGUGCGGCAGAGGAGACUGGAAUUCCUGGUGUAGCAGUGAAAUGCGUAGAUAUCAGGAGGAAUACCGAUGGCGAAGGCGGCGACCUGGGCCAAUACUGACGCUGAGGUGCGAAAGCGUGGGGAGCAAACAGG